rnacentral:rRNA from 1 species
AGAGUUUGAUCCUGGCUCAGGACGAACGCUGGCGGCGUGCCUAACACAUGCAAGUCGAACGGAAGCAAAGAUUUCGGUUUUUGCUUUAGUGGCGAACGGGUGAGUAACGCGUGAGGAACCUGCCUUUCAGUGGGGGACAACAGUUGGAAACGACUGCUAAUACCGCAUAAUGCUUUUUGAUGGCAUCAUUGAAAAGCCAAAGAUUUAUUGCUGAAAGAUGGCCUCGCGUCUGAUUAGCUAGUUGGUGGGGUAACGGCCCACCAAGGCGACGAUCAGUAGCCGGUCUGAGAGGAUGAACGGCCACAUUGGGACUGAGAUACGGCCCAGACUCCUACGGGAGGCAGCAGUGGGGAAUAUUGGGCAAUGGGGGAAACCCUGACCCAGCAACGCCGCGUGAAGGAAGAAGGCCUUCGGGUUGUAAACUUCUUUUACCAGGGACGAAAAAAGUGACGGUACCUGGAGAAAAAGCAACGGCUAACUACGUGCCAGCAGCCGCGGUAAUACGUAGGUUGCAAGCGUUGUCCGGAUUUACUGGGUGUAAAGGGCGUGUAGGCGGAGAUGCAAGUUGGGAGUGAAAUCCAUGGGCUCAACCCAUGAACUGCUCUCAAAACUGUAUCCCUUGAGUAUCGGAGAGGCAAGCGGAAUUCCUAGUGUAGCGGUGAAAUGCGUAGAUAUUAGGAGGAACACCAGUGGCGAAGGCGGCUUGCUGGACGACAACUGACGCUGAGGCGCGAAAGCGUGGGGAGCAAACAGGAUUAGAUACCCUGGUAGUCCACGCUGUAAACGAUGAAUACUAGGUGUGGGAGGACUGACCCCUUCCGUGCCGCAGUUAACACAAUAAGUAUUCCACCUGGGGAGUACGACCGCAAGGUUGAAACUCAAAGGAAUUGACGGGGGCCCGCACAAGCAGUGGAUUAUGUGGUUUAAUUCGACGCAACGCGAAGAACCUUACCAGGACUUGACAUCCAACUAACGAAGUAGAGAUACAUUAGGUGCCCUUCGGGGAAAGUUGAGACAGGUGGUGCAUGGUUGUCGUCAGCUCGUGUCGUGAGAUGUUGGGUUAAGUCCCGCAACGAGCGCAACCCCUAUU